AUCAUUUAAGGCCUGGACAAUGGAGGUCACCAUUGCCAAUUGCAGAGAGGAUUGGAAUAAGACCGUAAGGGUGGUGAUGGCGAGAUAAUAUUGUGGGCCUCUCUCUAGACAUGGAGACGUGGAUCCAGAGUCCUGUGGGGCAGGUGCAGAAAGAAAGGUCAAAGAUAAAGACAUAAGCUGGAGUAACUCAGUGGGACAGGCAGCAUCUCUGGAACGAAGGAACGGGUAACGUUUUGGGUCGAGACCCUUCUUCAGCCUUAAGAAAGGACAGUUCUGUAAUAAAUAAUUACAGGACCGCAGUGCACAUAUUUAUUUUCUUUCUCUGGAAAAAUAAUUCAUGAGAUGUGCCCGUCGCCGAAAAAGACUGGCAUUUAUGUACUUCACAGAUGAGCAGAUUGGAAGAGCUAUCUCCGUGACCCGCUGUAACCCGUGUGGUUGAGAUUCACCGAGUGGCACCAGGAACCAGAGCAUCACUGUCUGACAGAUCAACAGAACUACCCUGAAACACAGUCUGAAGAAGGGACUCGAUCACGUUCUCCAGAAUGCUGCUUGGCCCUCUGAGUUACUCCAGUACCUUGUCUCUUUUUUUAAAAAAUAAACCUGCGCCCGCAGUUCCUUGUUUAUACACAGCACAGUCACAACGGGUGGUGUAUUUAAAGAGAUGAAUUAGUUGAGGCAGCGACUAUCCCAACGUUUAUGAAAAAGGCACAUGGAUAGGGCAGGUUUGGAAGGGUAUGGGCCAGGUGGGACUAGUGUAGAUGGGACAUGUUGGCCGAUGUGGGCAAGUUGGGCCGAAGGGCCUGUUUCCACGCUGUAUCACUAUGACUCUUAUGGCCCGAAACGUCGCCUAUCCAUAUUAUCCAGAAAUGCUGUCGGCCCGCUGAGUUACUCCAGCAUUUUGGGGGGUUUUUGAAUGAGAAUUUCUUGUUCGUCGCAAUAACCGAUAAGUAUAUUAAAAUUCCAAUCUUCUGUGCACCUGGGAAUCAACUAUUGUUUCGCACGUUAUCCAAGUUCCAGACGCUAUCCCGGAGGUCAGUGUGGGCUCUGGGACGCCCGAACCCGAUUUCCCUGAGCCAGUGGCUCUGCCUAGUGGACAUAUCCCGCAUCGUGACUGGCGAGGGAGCGCUCCAGAAAGGGAUGCGAGUGAUCCGUGAACCCUCGAGUCACGCUAGUUGUUCGGUGGCGAACCCGCAACUGAGCGGCUCCCUGCAACAGCAACAACACACACACAAAAAAGCCGCAUUCGCCAAACGUGGCCGAUCGUGGUGGAACCGUGCGAAGUGAAGGACGCAAUUGGAAGUGUGAGUCAGAGGCCUCGAGCCCUCCAUUGAUGGGAUGAUCUUGACUACCGUAGCCAGCGGCGGGCCCUCCACGUCAGGGCGAUCAGCUCCUGCAUCGGGGGAAUGUCAGAUCCCUCGCGCCAGACGAAUAAACCCCGCGUCGGGGCUGGUCGAACCUUCCGCGGCAUUGGAGCUCCUGACAUCCACGGCCUCUCCCGAGACUGCAAGCUCUCGAUGUAGUCUGCAGGCCGUGGUUGGAGCGAUCACUGGUAAGGGAUCAGCUCCGAUGUAAGUUCACGCCCCACGGUGGGGCCCAAGGUCAGUCCGAGGAGGCCUCCAGCUCCAUUGAUGGUAGGCCGCAGAGCGACCAGAGAAUACGAUCUGAAAAUUAACCACAUCUCCGACAAGAUUCUGGGUGCGUUGUUCUGCCAUGCGACGAUUAUUCGGCAGACUAACACUUUCUUGUUUGAAAGAUCCCUAACUGGUCGGAAGCCGCGGUCCCCUGUCAGGAAGCGGCCGUUCCAGGGUUCCCAAGCCGCUGAGAGGACUCUCCCGACGCCGGGGCAACACCACCCGGCCAGAACGGCCAGGAACAUCGGGCCUCCGUAGAGGCAAUAGCGGUGGCCUCAAUAGGCCUGACUUUGAGUGAACUGGGGAUGGGGACUGGACAUUGUGCCUUCCCCCACAGUGGUAACCAUUGUGGGGGGAUGAUUUUGUUGUGUGUAAGUAAACAUGUUAGUCUGUGUCCAAGAUGGCUGUCGGAAGGGAGAGUGGACGCUAGCGCGCUUUAGCUGCCGCUGCUCUCUCUUCACACUGUGUUUUUGAUUUUUUGUCUUUGGAUUGAAUUCUGUUUUUAAUUUGUGUUUUGGUGAUGUCUUUAUUAUUUAUUUUAUUCCGAUUAUAUGUUUUAUUAUUCUUGUUAAUCUCUGUAAGGUGUCCUUGAGACUUUUGAAAGGCACCCACAAAUAAAAUGUAUUAUUAUUAUUAUUAUUAUUGUUCCUUCUCAAGGAGCCAAUAUAUAACCCAUCCUAGUAGGGGUUUCACAGCAAACGGUCCAUCCCGUUGGCUCCUCACAGUCUAUAUAAGUUCCAAUGCCUUCAAAGCAUUCGUUCCGAUACGAGAAUGUAUCUUAGGUAUCUUGACAUCCUUCAAGUAAGGCCAUUGUUUCAAGUCCUCAUGUCUGGGUAUAUUUGGAUGACAAACAGGCAUGGUUUCAUGUGUAAACACCUCAGAUAUUGGUAAAAAAUUGGCUUCAUCCAGACUAGAUAUUUCCAUACUUGUAAUGUCAUGACUAUCAAUUCAAUUCAAUUCAAUUCAACUUUAAUGUCAUCGCACAAAUACAAGUAUGAGUACAACGAAAUGCAGUUUUGCAUCAGUCCGUAGUAGUUGUGCAUAAAGAAAUUUAAAAAAUAGAAAGAGAGAAGAUACAGAAUAAUCAAAAAAUACAGAAUAAUUAAACAAUGGGGACGGAGGGACCAGAGAAAUCUAUCGGCGGGACUCCGAGUUCAGCAGUGUAAUUGUAUUAUUGUAGAAGCUGUUCCUAUCGCAGGAUUUCUCCUCAUUCAUGGUAUGCAAUAGAAUCUUAACCUUUUCUCCUGUAAUGUCCAGCCUUCUCAUCAAGCUUUCUGUACAAAUAGCAGCCGAACAUCCAUGAUCCAAAAAUGCAUACGUUUGCAACACUGUAUUCCCCUUGCCAGAUACAGGUUUCUACCCCGGCCCCAAUAUAGGCAGAGGUGAGGUGACAGCAUCACUAAUAGCUGACUUCUCCUUUUGUUCUAUUUGCUCCGGCUUCUUCUGCUCAGUGUGAAGUGCUUCAGGAUGAUCUUGCUUGCACUUAUCACAAGUUAUAGGACAACUCUUGCAGUCUUUAACCAUGUGUCCAUUUUUCAAACAUCCAAAAUAGAUUCCCUUCUCCUUUAAGAAAUCCAUCUUUUCUUUAUAUCCCUUCUUCUUCAAUUACCGACACCACCUGUGCUGUGACCAACCUCUUCAGAUAAAAUUUAAAGGUAACUGGUUAUAGUUAUAACAUACUGAGUUAAAAUAAAUGGCUACUACACUGAUUAUUAUCUGAAUGGUGUCAAGUGUAACGAGAUCUGGGUGGCCUUGUACAUCAGUUACUGAAAGUAAGCAUGCAGGUACAGCAGGCAGUGAAGAAAGUGAAUGGCAUGUUGGCCUUCAUAACAAGAGGAGUUGAGUAUAGGAGCAAAGAGGUCCUUCUGGUGUCAAGGGAUAUGGAGAGAAGGCAGGCACGGGUUAUUGAUAGGAGACGAUCAGCCAUGAUCACAAUGAAUGGAGGUGCUGGGUCGAAGGGCUGAAUGGCCUCCACCUGCAGCUAUUUUCUCUGUUUCUAUGUUUCUGCAGUUGUACAGGGCCCUAGUGAGACCACACCUGGAGUAUUGUGUGCAGUUUUGGUCAAAGAUGGUUUUGGUCUCCAAAUUUGAGGAAGGACAUUCUUGCUAUUGAGGGAGUGCAGCGUAGGUUCACAAGGUUAAUUCCCAAGAUAGUGGGACUCUCAUAUCUUGAAAGAAUGAAGCGACUGGGCCUGUAUACACUGGAAUUUCGAAGGAUGAAAGGGGAUCUCAUUGAAACAGAUAAGAUUGUUAAGGGAUUGGGCACGCUAGAGGAAGGAAACAUGUUCCCGAUGUUGGGGGAGUGCAGAACUAGGGGCCACAUUUUAAGAAUAAGGGUCAGGGCAUUUAGAACGGAGAUGAGGAGAAACUUUUUCACCCAGAGAGUACUGAAUCUGUGGAAUUCUCUGCCCCAGAAGGCAGAGAAGGCAGAUUCUCUGGAUGCUUUCAAGAGAGAGUUAGAUAGAGUUGUAAAGCUAACGGAGUCAAGGGAUAUGGGGAGAAGGCAGGAACGGGGUACUGAUUGUGGAUGAUCGGCCAUGAUCACAGUGAAUGGCGGUGUUGGCUCGAAGAGCCGAAUGGCCUACUCCUGCACAUAUUGUCUAUUGUUUAGUGUCUCUUGUUUAUUGUCUUUGGAGUGUGGGAAGAAACCGCAGCUUCCGGAGAAAACCCACACGGUCACAGUGAGAAUGUACAAACUCCAUACAGGCAGCACCCGUAGUCAGGAUUGAACCUGGAUCUCUGGCGCUGUAAGGCAGCAACUCUACCGCUGCACCACUGUGCCGCACGUAACACCCAACAGGCAUAGGUGAUCAUAUUUCUAGGGAACAUAUUUAAAAAUAAUAUCUCUGCACCUUUAAAAAAAUUGAACAUACCAACUUAAUGCCAUGAGUUUAAUGGGAAUAGUUGCUCCCUUACAGUGCCAGAGACUCGGGUUUGAACCUGCCUAUGGGUGCUGUCUGUAUGGAGUUUGUACGUUCUCCCUGUGAUAGCGUGGGUUUUCUCUGGGUGCUCUGGUUUCCUCCCACACACCAAAGACAUACAGGCUUGUAGGUUAAUUGGCUUCCGUAAAAAGAUUGUCAAUUGUUCCUAGUGUGUAGGAUAGAGCUAGUGUGUGGAGAGAUAACUGGUCAGCGCAGAUUUGUUGGGACAAAGGGCCUGUUUCCACACUGCAUCACUAAAGUCUGCAGUCUAAAGUGUAAUGUCUAAAGGUGAAGCAAGCAACAUGGUCAAUAAAUUCCAUACUUUUAUAUUGAACAUAUAUUUAGUUAUAUUUCAAUCUCCAGGAAAAUUUUAGUUUGUUUGUUUCCUUUAACUAGCAAUAGGCAAAGGGCAAUAUUUUUAUUUAUUUCUUAUAUGGUAACGUGUCUUUUUGAAGAAAUUAAAAGUUGUGUAGUCCCAUUGCUGGAUGUAUGACUCCUUUUUGCCAGUAGGUGGUGAUAAUGGACCACAUGUGUGUGUGUGUGUAGCCUCCACCAUUUCUGUCACUUGAAAGUAGAUAAAAGAUUUGGAAGGAGUUUAAGCCAUUUCUCCAGUUUGCAGAGCAACGAUUAUUUUUAACUGUUCUCUGUCAAAUCAAAGCAUUUCAUGAGAUUUGCCCGAAACGAGGAACUGGUGAUGUCGGUAUACAAAAGAAGAAGGGUCCCCCAUAAGUUCAUGUUCAUCAGUUAAAGGAACAGAAUUAGGCCAAAUGGCCCAUCAAGCCUACUUUAGUUUAGAGAUACAGCACAGAAACAGGCCCUUCGGUCCACCGGGUCUGCACCCACCCACCAGCGAUCCCCCCACAUUAACACUAUCCUACAACCACUAGGGACAAUUUUUACAUUUAUGAAGUCAAUUAACCUACAAAUCUGUACGUCUUUGGAAUGUGGGAGGAAACCAAAGAUCUCGGAGAAAACCCACGCAGGUCACGGGGAGAACGUACAAACUCCGUACAGACAGCACCCGUAAUCGGGAUCGAACUCGGGUCUCCGGCGCUGGAUUCGCUGUAAGGCAGCAACUCUACCGCUGCACCACCGUGACUGCCCAUUCAAUCUGUCAUUUACUCUGUCAUUCAAUCAUGGCUGAUUCAUUUUCCCCUCUCAUCCCCAUUCCCCUGCCUUCUCCCCAUAACCUCUGACGCAUGUACUAACCAAGAAUAUGUCAAAGUCUGCCUUAAAAAUAUCCACACUCAGCCUCCACAGCCAUCUGUGGCAAUGAAUUCCACAGAUUCACCACCCCCCUGCCCUAAAACAAUGCCAAUCCGUGUUCCCCUGGGAUGCUGCCUGGCCCAUUGAGCUACUCCAGCACUCUGUGUCUUCUCCUGAGACUUGCUAUUGGCUUUAUAUGCUGUUAGCUCCCUUCCUGUAUCCAACUAUGUUCAUAGUUGAAUGAAGACUUAAGGAACUGCAGGUGAUGGAAUCUUGUGCAGAAAACAAAGUUCUGGAGUAACUCAGCUCAUUGUGGCCCAGAGCUGCUGCCUGACCUGCUGAGCUAUUUCAACAAUUCAAUGUUCACCAUCGGCAUGGGCAAGUCAGGCCGAAGGGCCUGUUUCCGCGUGGUAUGAUUCUGUGACUCAGAUUUGAACUUUCAUUGAGGGCCAAUAUUUCUCCUCCAAUCUAGUCUGAGAGGGAUAAAUAAACUUUAAAGCAAAAUAAAGAAACAGUCAGCAUCAGGUGUUUAUGAAGCUAUUCUAAACAGAAACAUGGCCCAAGAAACUUUCACAUGGACCAAAAAAUUAACAUCACAUCAAUAACAUACCCCAGUGAACGUUAAAGUCCAAUGUAAGCCAAAAUUCAUAAGCACAUAUUAUUGAACAAACAUGAAGUUUUAAGUAACUCAGUGGGACAGGCAGCAUCUCUGAAGAGAUGCAAUGGGUGACGUUUCAGGUUGAGAUCCUUCUUCAGAACUGGAGAAGGCUCGUGACCCAACAGGUCUGAAGAAGGGUCUCGACCCAAAACGUUACCCAUUCCUUCUCUCCAGAGAUACUGCCUGUCCCGCUGAGUUACUCCAGCAUUUUGUGUCUACCUUUGGUUUAAAACCAGCAUCCGCAAUUGCUUCCUACACAUGAAGCUUUAAGAGUCAUUUUCCUACUGAGCCCAUCUCGCCACUGCUUCCCAAAAUUCACCAGUUAAUGAACUGCCACAACUCCAUCUUCUAAAAUUGUAUGUGGAAGUAGUUUAAAAGCUUGCAGUUGUCAUUGCACUCAAGGAUCGAUAGUUUAGAUAAGGUG